rnacentral:rRNA from 1 species
AUUGAACGCUGGCGGCAUGCUUUACACAUGCAAGUCGAACGGUAACAGGUUAAGCUGACGAGUGGCGAACGGGUGAGUAAUGCAUCGGAACGUGCCCGGUCGUGGGGGAUAACACUUCGAAAGAAGUGCUAAUACCGCAUACGAUCUGAGGAUGAAAGCGGGGGACCGUAAGGCCUCGCGCGAUCGGAGCGGCCGAUGUCAGAUUAGGUAGUUGGUGGGGUAAAGGCCCACCAAGCCGACGAUCUGUAGCUGGUCUGAGAGGACGACCAGCCACACUGGGACUGAGACACGGCCCAGACUCCUACGGGAGGCAGCAGUGGGGAAUUUUGGACAAUGGGCGCAAGCCUGAUCCAGCAAUGCCGCGUGCAGGAAGAAGGCCUUCGGGUUGUAAACUGCUUUUGUACGGAGCGAAAAGGCUCUCUCUAAUACAGGGGGUUGAUGACGGUACCGUAAGAAUAAGCACCGGCUAACUACGUGCCAGCAGCCGCGGUAACAC